UACGUAGGGCGCAAGCGUUUAUCCGGAAUUAUUGGGCGUAAAGAGCUCGUAGGCGGUUUGUCGCGUCUGCCGUGAAAGUCCGGGGCUCAACUCCGGAUCUGCGGUGGGUACGGGCAGACUAGAGUGAUGUAGGGGAGACUGGAAUUCCUGGUGUAGCGGUGAAAUGCGCAGAUAUCGGGAGGAACACCAGUGGCGAAGGCGGCACUCUGGGCCGGUACUGACGCUGAGGAGCGAAAGCGUGGGGAGCGAACAGG
rnacentral:rRNA from 1 species